ensembl:lncRNA
GGAGCAGUGGCUGCGCUUUGCUGGAGCAGCUGUGAAGAGAUACCCCACGCCCAAGGUGAGAGAAACCCAAUGUGUGCCAGCACCAGCCAUUCUUGGAAGGAAAGGAUACCCAAGGAAAAGGAGUUAAGAGCCAAGAGUGUAAUUCAUGUCCAUCCCUCAGUGCUGGAGAUCCCUGGUCAGAAGAGCAUGGAGGCUUCCCAGGUGGCGCUGGUGGUAAAGAACAUGCUUGCCAGUGCAAGAGAUGUAAGAGAUGCAGGUUUGAUCCCUGGGUCAAGAAGAUCCCCUGGAGGAGGGCAUGGCAACCCACUGCAGUAUUUUUGCCUAGAAUCCCAUGAACAGAGGAGCCUGAUGGGCUACAGUCCAUAGCGUUGCAAAGAGUUGGACACGACUGAAGCAACUUAGCAUAGCAUAGCACAGUCAGAGCAUGACUCUGAAGAGUUGACUAGCCUCAUUAAGGCCCUGACACGUGUUUUAAGUUUCAUUUUCCCUGGCCCUGGGGAAGAUGCUAAAGCAGCUGAGUAGACAGCAGCUGUGGACAGAGCCCUUCCUGGGGGGCUCACUCAGUGACUCUUCCCUUCAG